UGGUUAGAGCAGGUAGCAUAGUUGUUAGAGCAGGUAGCCUAGUGGUUAGAGCAGGUAGCCUAGUGGUUAGAGCAGGUAGCCUAGUGGUUAGAGCCUAGUGGUUAGAGCAGGUAGCCUAGUGGUUAGAGCAGGUAGCCUAGUGGUUAGAGCCUAGUGGUUAGAGCAGGUAGCCUAGUGGUUAGAGCAGGUAGCCUAGUGGUUAGAGCAGGUAGCCUAGUGGUUAGAGCCUAGUGGUUAGAGCAGGUAGCCUAGUGGUUAGAGCCUAGUGGUUAGAGCAGGUAGCCUAGUGGUUAGAGCCUAGUGGUUAGAGCAGGUAGCCUAGUGGUUAGAGCAGGUAGCCUAGUGGUUAGAGCAG